ensembl:lncRNA
AGUGGUGGAGAGGAGGGGAGGGUUGAGGGGUGGCGGAGAGGAGAGAAGGGUUGAGGGGUGGUGGAGAGGAGAGGAGGGUUGAGGGGUGGUGGAGAGGAGAGGAGGGUUGAGGGGUGGCGGAGAGAAGAGAAGGGUUGAGGGGUGGCGGAGAGGAGAGGAGGGUUGAGGGGUGGUGGAGAGGAGAGAGAAGGGUUGAGGGGUGGCGGAGAGGAGAGAAGGUUUGAGGAGUGGCGGAGAGGAGAGAAGGGUUGAGGGGUGGCGGAGAGGAGAGGAAGGUAGAGGGGUGGCAGAGAGGAGAGGAGGGUUGAGGAGUGGAGGAGAGAAGAGAAGGGUUGAGGGGUGGCGGAGAGGAGAGGAGGGUUGAGGGGUGGCGGAGAGGAGAGAAGGGUUGAGGGGUGGCGGAGAGGAGAGAAGGUUUGAGGAGUGUCGGAGAGGAGAGAAGGGUUGAGGGGUGGCGGAGAGGAGAGGAAGGUAGAGGGGUGGCAGAGAGGAGAGGAGGGUUGAGGAGUGGCGGAGAGGAGGAGGAGGGUUGAGGGCUGGCGGAGAGGAGAGAAGGGUUGAGGGGUGGUGGAGAGGAGGGUUGAGGGGUGGUGGAGAGAAGAGAAGGGUUGAGGGGUGGCGGAGAGGAGAGGAGGGUUGAGGGGUGGCGGAGAGGAGAGAAGGGUUGAGGGGUGGCGGAGAGGAGAGAAGGGUUGAGGGGUUGCGGAGAGAACAGGAGGGUUGAGGGGUGGCGGAGAGGAGAGGAGGGUUGAGGGGUGGCGGAGAGGAGAGGAGGGUUGAGGAGUGGCGGAGAGGAGAGGAGAGGAGGUUUGAGGAGUGGCGGAGAGGAGAGGAGAGAAGGGUUGAGGGGUGGCGGAGAGGAGAGGAGGGUUGAGGGGUGGCGGAGAGGAGAGGAGGGUUGAGGAGUGGCGGAGAGGAGGGUUGAGGAGUGGCGGAGAGGAGAGGAGGGUUGAGGGGUGGCGGAGAGGAGAGGAGGGUUGAGGGGUGGCGGAUAGGAGAGGAGGGUUGAGGAGUGGCGGAGAGGAGAGGAGAGGAGGUUUGAGGAGUGGCGGAGAGGAGAGGAGAGAAGGGUUGAGGGGUGGCGGAGAGGAGAGGAGGGUUGAGGGGUGGCGGAGAGGAGAGAAGGGUCAAGGGGUGGCGGAGAGGAGAGAAGGGUUGAGGGGUGGCGGAGAGGAGAGGAGGUGUGAGGAGUGGCGGAGAGGAGAGGAGGGUUGAGGGGUGGCGGAGAGGAGAGGAG